GACGAAUCGCCGAGCUUCGCGGCGAAUGGUCAGUACAUUCUGUACGCUACACAAUCGGGGGGCCGCAGCGUGCUGGCUGCCGUUCCGUCC
rnacentral:tRNA from 1 species